rnacentral:rRNA from 1 species
AUUGAACGCUGGCGGCAGGCCUAACACAUGCAAGUCGAACGGUAACAGGAAGAAGCUUGCUUCUUUGCUGUCGAGUGGCGGACGGGUGAGUAAUGUCUGGGAAACUGCCUGAUGGAGGGGGAUAACUCCUGGAAACGGUAGCUAAUACCGCAUAACGUCGCAAGCCCAAAAAGGGGGACCUGCGGGCGUCUUGCCAUUGGAUUUGCCCAGAAGGGAUUAGCUAGUAGGUGGGGUAACGGCUAACCUAGGCGACGAUCCCUAGCUGGUCUGAGAGGGUGAACAGCCACACUGGAACUGAGACACGGUCCAGACUCCUACGGGAGGCAGCAGUGGGGAAUAUUGCACAAUGGGCGCAAGCCUGAUGCAGCCAUGCCGCGUGUAUGAAGAAGGCCUUCGGGUUGUAAAGUACUUUCAGCGGGGAGGAAGGAAGUAAAGUUAAUACCUGUACUCAUUGACGUUACCCGCAGAAGAAGCACCGGCUAACUCCGUG